rnacentral:rRNA from 1 species
UCCAGACUCCUACGGGAGGCAGCAGUGGGGAAUAUUGGGCAAUGGGCGCAAGCCUGACCCAGCAACGCCGCGUGAAGGAAGAAGGCUUUCGGGUUGUAAACUUCUUUUAUCAGGGACGAAGCAAGUGACGGUACCUGAUGAAUAAGCCACGGCUAACUACGUGCCAGCAGCCGCGGUAAUACGUAGGUGGCAAGCGUUAUCCGGAUUUACUGGGUGUAAAGGGCGUGUAGGCGGGAGUGCAAGUCAGAUGUGAAAACUAUGGGCUCAACCCAUAGCCUGCAUUUGAAACUGUACUUCUUGAGUGCUGGAGAGGCAAUCGGAAUUCCGUGUGUAGCGGUGAAAUGCGUAGAUAUACGGAGGAACACCAGUGGCGAAGGCGGUCUGCUGGACAGCAACUGACGCUGAGGCGCGAAAGCGUGGGGAGCAAACAGGAUUAGAUACCCCGGUAU